rnacentral:rRNA from 1 species
UGGGAAUGAUUGUCACAAUGGGCGAAAGCCUGAUGGAGCAACGCCGCGUGUGUGAUGAAGGGUUUCGGCUCGUAAAACACUGUUGUAAGAGAAGAAUGACAUUGAGAGUAACUGUUCAAUGUGUGACGGUAUCUUACCAGAAAGGAACGGCUAAAUACGUG